GGAUGCGAUCAUACCAGCACUAAAGCAGCGGAUCCCUUCAGAACUCCGAAGUUAAGCGUGCUUGGGCGAGAGUAGUACUAGGACGGGUGACCUCCUGGGUAGUCCUCGUGUUGCAUUCCC
rnacentral:rRNA from 1 species